rnacentral:rRNA from 1 species
AUGCGUCAAAGAAAACCUUGUGUGGUUUGUCCUGCUCCUGCGGCGCUGUGUUCCACCCCAGCUCAGCUGCUCCAACGACGGAAGGGUUCACCACAGCAGGGAUCCGCUCUCCAGACUGUCUUUCGCCGCCUCAGAUCUUCUUCUCCGCCGCCGGCAGCCACGGCAACUGCAUUACCAUCAUCAACUGAGCAGAUGACCUUGAGGACUACACGGGUUCGCAAGAGAGUUAUUGUACACAAUGGAACUGAUCAUGUAGAGCAAAAGAGACGAGCAUUGCGUGGCAAUAAAAUUUCAUGCGGACGUCGUUCCAUGGUGGGCGCAAAGGCAGCCCCCCUCCACCCAUUUCGGAUCGUAAUCAAGAGGAAGAUAACUGUUCUGAGGGGGAUUCAGAAGGAGAAGACCACUCUUAUUUACCCCAUGAGGUUCAAUUACUCUUCCUGUGCAUCAGCCAUUCGGCACCGUCAUGGAAAAAUCUGGAGUGGAAACAAGGUCUUUAGAGCAGACAAUGCUAUCUGA